rnacentral:rRNA from 1 species
UUCCGGUUGAUCCUGCCAGAGGUUACUGCUAUCGGUGUUCGACUAAGCCAUGCAAGUCAUAUGUUCCUCGUGAACAUGGCAUACUGCUCAGUAACACGUGGAUAACCUGCCCUUGGGUCUGGGAUAACCCCGGGAAACUGGGGAUAAUACCGGAUAACGCAUAUGUGCUGGAAUGCUUUAUGCGUAAAACGGAUUCGUCCGCCCAAGGAUGGGUCUGCGGCCUAUCAGGUAGUAGUGGGUGUAAUGUACCUACUAGCCAACAACGGGUACGGGUUGUGAGAGCAAGAGCCCGGAGAUGGAUUCUGAGACAUGAAUCCAGGCCCUACGGGGCGCAGCAGGCGCGAAAACUUUACAAUGCGGGAAACCGUGAUAAGGGAACACCGAGUGCCAGCAUCAUAUGCUGGCUGUCCAGAUGUGUAAACUACAUCUGUUAGCAAGGGCCGGGCAAGACCGGUGCCAGCCGCCGCGGUAACACCGGCGGCCCGAGUGGUGACCGUUAUUAUUGGGUCUAAAGGGUCCGUAGCCGGUUUGGUCAGUCCUCCGGGAAAUCUGAUAGCUUAACUGUUAGGCUUUCGGGGG